rnacentral:rRNA from 1 species
UUCGGUUGAUCCUGCCGGAGGUCACUGCUAUCAGUGUUCGACUAAGCCAUGCAAGUCAAAUGUUCUUCGUGAACAUGGCGGACUGCUCAGUAACACGUGGAUAACCUGCCCUUAGGAUUGGCAUAACACCGGGAAACUGGUGAUAAUACCGAAUAGACCAUUUAUGCUGGAAUGCUUUUUGGUUCAAAGGCUUCGGCUGCCUAAGGAUGGAUCUGCGGCCUAUCAGGUAGUAGUGGGUGUAAUGUACCUACUAGCCUACGACGGGUACGGGUUGUGGGAGCAAGAGCCCGGAGAUGGAUUCUGAGACAUGAAUCCAGGCCCUACGGGGCGCAGCAGGCGCGAAAACUUUACAAUGCGGGAAACCGCGAUAAGGGGACACUGAGUGCCAGCAUAUUAUGUUGGCUGUCCACAUGUAUAAAAACCAUGUGUUAGCAAGGGCCGGGCAAGACCGGUGCCAGCCGCCGCGGUAACACCGGCGGCCCGAGUGGUGAUCACUUUUAUUGGGUCUAAAGGGUCCGUAGCCGGUUUGAUCAGUCCUCUGGGAAAUCUGACAGCUUAACUGUUAGGCUUCCAGGGGAUACUGUCAGACUUGGGACCGGGAGAGGUAAGAGGUACUACAGGGGUAGGAGUGAAAUCUUGUAAUCCCUGUGGGACCACCAGUGGCGAAGGCGUCUUACCAGAACGGGUCCGACGGUGAGGGACGAAAGCUGGGGGCACGAACCGGAUUAGAUACCCGGGUAGUCCCAGCCGUAAACGAUGCUCGCUAGGUGUCAGGGACGGUGCGACCGUUUCUGGUGCCGCAGGGAAGCCGUGAAGCGAGCCACCUGGGAAGUACGGCCGCAAGGCUGAAACUUAAAGGAAUUGGCGGGGGAGCACUACAACGGGUGGAGCCUGCGGUUUAAUUGGAUUCAACGCCGGA